UGUCGCGGGCGUAGGAAAUUUGAGAGGGGCUGUCCUUAGUACGAGAGGACCGGGAUGGACGCACCGCUGGUGUACCAGUUGUUCCGCCAGGAGCACCGCUGGGUAGCCAAGUGCGGAAGGGAUAAGCGCUGAAAGCAUCUAAGCGCGAAGCCUGCCUCAAGAUGAGAUUUCCCAAUUCGUAAGACCCCUGGAAGAACACCAGGUUGAUAGGCUCGGGGUGGAAGCGCAGCAAUGCGUGGAGCUGACGGGUACUAAUCGGUCGAGGGCUUAUCCUA
rnacentral:rRNA from 1 species